AACAAGUGUUAAAAACAUAGCUAGCACUACAACCCUGAUUCUGAAAUAUCAAGCCAUUCAUCAAAAGGAAAAAUCUAGAUGAUGCAAAUUCAAGAUAGAAAGAGGUACAAUUGUAUUGGAACUCGAGAAGGCACCAGAAUUCAGAGAAGGAUGAAGUUUAUUCAGAGAACAGACACUGUCUGUGGCAGGCGACAGUGUUCUUACAGGAAACAACUAAAACUUAGCUAGCACUACUAAUCCGAUUCAUCAAAAACAAAGCCGUCACAAGGAAAAAAUCUAAAUGAUGGAUAAUCAAGGCAGGUGAGCAAAUCACUGUUUCUAAAUCAGCAAGUUCGAGUGCAUCUGUAGAUGAGUUUACCCAUCUGUGUCACCGCAUCCGCUGGAUAAAGGUUCCCAAGUCGAGGAUCGAUUAUUUCCGCAAUCUUAUGAUUAUCUAAGCUUUGCCUGUUCUUGAUUAUCCAUUUAAGGAAUCCUUCAUAUCUCGAACCAGUUAAAAGCUCAAGCAAGAUCACACCAAAUAUGUAAACAUCGGACUCCAUUACGAAACAACCUAUAUAUACAUUCCACAGUUGUCAGUCUUAAACAUUUUGAAGAAUGAAUAUCAGAAACCAAAUUAGUUAUAUAUGAUUUUUUGGUGAUA